rnacentral:rRNA from 1 species
GACGAACGCUGGCGGCGUGCCUAACACAUGCCAGUCGAACGGAACUGUUUUGAAAGAUUUCUUCGGAAUGAAUUUGAUUUAGUUUAGUGGCGGACGGGUGAGUAACGCGUGAGUAACCUGCCUUCAAGAGGGGAAUAACAUUCUGAAAAGAAUGCUAAUACCGCAUGACAUAUCGGAACCACAUGGUUUUGAUAUCAAAGAUUUUAUCGCUUGAAGAUGGACUCGCGUCCGAUUAGUUAGUUGGUGAGGUAACGGCUCACCAAGACCGCGAUCGGUAGCCGGACUGAGAGGUUGAACGGCCACAUUGGGACUGAGACACGGCCCAGACUCCUACGGGAGGCAGCAGUGGGGGAUAUUACGCAAUGGGGGCAACCCUGACGCAGCAACGCCGCGUGAAGGAUGAAGGUUUUCGGAUUGUAAACUUCUUUUAUUAAGGACGAAAAAUGACGGUACUUAAUGAAUAAGCUCCGGCUAACUACGUG